GAAUUUGAGUCUUUGUGCAAACAAAGGAUUUAUUUUGCUGCUUGUGUCAUGUAGGUGUUUUGGUUUAACCAAAACACUGAAAUGUUUGAGUGGUUUUCAAAUUCGGUUGUUGAGAAAAGUGGUGGCCGAUUUUUAGGAGGAGAUUAUGGGAUUUUAUUUUUAUUUUCUUGUUUUUUUUUCAAAUUUCAGCUUCUCAUACUUUUCCCAAAUUUCGGCCUUUCUACUUUUUUUUGACAUUUUGAAUCCAUUUUCUCUGCCAUUCUUUUUCUGCUUCACUGCUGCUGAUUUGCUCUUCUGUUUUUCUUUUCUU
rnacentral:lncRNA from 1 species